GGCAAGAUGGCCGAGCGGUUAAGGCGUGUGACUCAAGCUUAGCUUGCCCACGAUUUGUGGGUUUCCUUUCUCAUUACGUAAUGUAGCAUGGGUUCAAAUCCCAUUCUUGUCA